GCCCCCAUCGUCUAGCGGCCUAGGAUAUCUGGUUCUCAGCCAGAGGACAGGGGUUCGAGUCCCCUUGGGGGUA
rnacentral:tRNA from 1 species